rnacentral:other from 1 species
GCACCUCUGCGGUGUUCGUGAGCGGCCGGGUGUAUAUCCUUGAGCCUAUUUAUAUGCCCAGGGAGCUGAAACGCAGAUGCUGUUGUGCAUACCCGCUGAAGCGGGAAGCCUGAUGCGUCGCUGCAGCGCCCACCUGAACCAUUGGUUCAAGGUCGAAGGCUGCCACGGCAUUCGCGGAGCGUGU